UACGUAGGUGGCAAGCGUUACUCGGAAUCACUAGGCGUAAAGCGCAGGUAGGAGGUUUAGUAAGUCUGUUGUGAAAGCUCCCGGCUUAACUGGGAGAGGUCAACGGAAACUGCUAGGCUAGAGUGCGGUAGAGGUAGCUGGAAUUCCCGGUGUAGCGGUGAAAUGCGUAGAUAUCGGGAGGAAUACCUAUGGCGAAAGCAGGCUACUGGACCGUCACUGACUCUGAUCUGCGAAAGCUAGGGGAGCAAACAGG
rnacentral:rRNA from 1 species